GGCCUACGGGAGGCAGCAGUGAGGAAUAUUGGUCAAUGGGCGGGAGCCUGAACCAGCCAAGCCGCGUGAGGGAAGAAGGUACAGCGUAUCGUAAACCUCUUUUGUCAGGGAACAAAGGCGGGGACUAGUCCCCGGAUGAGGGUACCUGAAGAAAAAGCAUCGGCUAACUCCGUGCCAGCAGCCGCGGUAAUACGGAGGUGGCAAGCGUUGUCCGAAUUUACUGGGUGUAAAGGGCGUGUAGCCGGGUUGACAAGUCAGAUGUGAAAUCCUGCGGCUUAACCGCAGAACUGCAUUUGAAACUGUUG
rnacentral:rRNA from 1 species